UACUGGCUUUAUAUCUCUGUGCUGUGCUCAGAGAUAUUGCAUGGGAGGAAUAACAACUGCUCUGAUGGCAUUUGCUGGGAUCCCCUUGACGGUUGAGCAGGCAAGCUGGUGCUCCCAGUGGGCUGGCCUGUGUUUCUCUGAGUAAAUCUACUGGAAGAUACAGGGCUGAAAACAAAGACAUCCAAACCUUGAGCCAUUUAGAAGAGGAAGAAGCCAAAAUCUGUGCCAGAGGUUUGACUGCUGGGUUUACUCAUGGCUUCAGGUCAGGAUGGGCACUGCUAGAUAAUGAAGGCAAAAUCGGUUUCGUGGGGCUUGCUCUAUUGGGAGGAUUUUCUGAGAAGGAUCUGAGUAGCUGCUAGCUGGAUGGCUUCACUUCUGACCCCCCAGCCUGAGUGAGGUUUGCUGCUUGGAGUAUUCCUGGAAUGACACAGGGGCUCUGGCUGGAGUCAGGCCAGAACAUUAGAUAAAACUGCUUUUGUGGCACUUCUGUGUUUGAUACAUAGAGGACAGAUUUCCUGCUCAUGUCUCUGCAGUGUUUGAUUUUCUUGACCAUGAAACCCUUCAUAUCCCUGCUGAGGAGGGGGGUUGCAGUCUGGUGGGAAUGGUUCAGUGAGACAUACCCCAGUUAGUAGAGAUGUGAACAUAUAUCACUACUGCUAAUGCCUGGAUAUGAUGCUGUCCCACAAGGACCUAUGCUUUCCCCCUUUUUGCUAACCCAAUUGAGCACAAAGUCAUAGGGAUGUGGGAGACAUUGCUGCAGCCCAGAACACUUCAGCAGCUCAAGCUGGUUGUGCCGUCCCCUCCUCUCAUGUUUUAAGAGAAUAUACAGUAAAGUUCAAAGUCUCAGUCCUUGAAAGCCCUAGUAGCCUGGAUCAAAGUAUCUAAAAAAGUAACCUUAUCAACACCAUCUGAAUUAUAUGAGAGUCUUGCCAUUUCUCAUGAUGAUCGCUUCUGAUAUCUUCCUCCAGUAGUUGUAAGCACUGGCCACUGUCUCUGAAACGUGGGAAAAAAACCCCAUGUGCAACAGUUAGCACUUUUCUUACUGAGAGGACCAGCACGUGGAGAUUCCCUUGCUUUUCUCAUGAACAGGGAAUGUUUAUUGCCCCUGGAACACCUGUCCCUCCUGACAAGCACAGGGUAGCACAGUGUUCCACCAACAGCAUUGUGACUGGUCUUCAGGGGUUUCCACCUUCCCAUCCCAUGCAUUGGCCUCAAAGUGUUGCCAGGACCACAUGGUUAUCGGUGCAAUGUAUAAUCUCUCUCCCUCACUCUUUUCAUGCACACACAUUACCCCCUGCAUAUAGUACUUUUCUCUAAUUUUGUGUACACUCAAGCCAUACGAUUUCUAAAGAAGGUUAAAAAUAUCAAAUGAAUUAGAAAGAAAGAGGUGAAAAGAAGCAUUUUGAGAUACUCAGAGGGCUGGUAGUACUAACAAGAGAGGCAGUUUCUGGCUUUCUUUGAUACUGAAUUUAAUUGCAGGCAUCUAGGGUUUAAAGACCUUGUGUUAUUGAUGGGGGUGUGUUAGCAACAGGAGGGAUUGACUCUAACAUUAAACUGGAAUUUAGCAUGUACAGUAGGUUGUCAAGAGAAAAAUAAGAACAAAGGAAACUGUUAUUAUCUUUUAUUAUUAUCUUUUAAUUCCCCCCCCGUUUUCCUUCUGCAUGAUCUCUCUCUGUCAGCAUUCUCUCUUUCAAUAAUUACAAUAAUCAACUUACAAUGAUAACAGAAAUAAUCUCCUGCAAGAUAGCUAAACAAACCACAUGUUAUCUGUACUGAACCGCACUUACUUACAGUAAGUACAUCACUCAUGGAAAAGCCAAUAAAAUUUUAAUUAAAAAAGCAUGUAGGUUGUCAGUUGAGAUGCAAAAAGGGUGUGCAAACACAUGCAAAAUGGUCCAUAAAUUGCUUGGUAUUUGAUA